rnacentral:rRNA from 1 species
CCCUUAGAUGUUCUGGGCCGCACGCGCGCUACACUGACGAUGGCAACGAGUUUUUCCUUCGCCGAAAGGUGUGGGUAAUCUUUUGAAACAUCGUCGUGCUGGGGAUAGAUCAUUGCAAUUUUUGAUCUUGAACGAGGAAUUCCUAGUAAGCGCGAUUCAUCAGCUCGCGUUGAUUACGUCCCUGCCCUUUGUACACACCGCCCGUCGCUACUACCGAUUGAAUGGUUUAGUGAGGACUCCUGAUUGGCGCCGCCGCCCCGGCAACGGAGCAGCGGACUGCCGAAAAGUUGUUCAAACUUGAUCAUUUAGAGGAAGUAAAAGUCGUAACA